UACGGUAGGGGGCGAGCGUUGUCCGAAGUUACUGGGCGUAAAGCGCGCGUAGGCGGUUCUCUAAGUUUGGGGUGAAAGGUUCAGUGCUCAACGCGAACAGUGCCCUGGAGACUGGAGAACUUGGAGUGUGGGAGGGGGCAGUGGAAUUCCUGGUGUGAGCGGUGAAAUGCGUAGAUAUCAGGAGGAACACCGGUGGCGAAGGCGGCUGCCUGGCCUAACACUG
rnacentral:rRNA from 1 species